GGUAGUUCAAUUGGUAGAGCAGCGGUCUCCAAAACCGCCUGUUGAGGGUUCGAGUCCUUCCC
rnacentral:tRNA from 1 species